rnacentral:rRNA from 1 species
UGUGCACCCUCUGUAGUUCUGUGGCCUUGGGGACUCCUGUCCUCUUGCUGCGGUCCUACGUCUUUACACACACACCAUAAUACAGUCUCAUGGAAUGUAUGUCGCGUUUAACGCAAUACAAUACAACUUUCAGCAACGGAUCUCUUGGCUCUCGCAUCGAUGAAGAACGCAGCGAAAUGCGAUAAGUAAUGUGAAUUGCAGAAUUCAGUGAAUCAUCGAAUCUUUGAACGCACCUUGCGCCCUUUGGCUAUUCCGAAGGGCAUGCCUGUUUGAGUAUCAUGAACACCUCAACUCUCAUGGUCCACCAUGAUGAGCUUGGACUUUGGAGGCAUUGCCGGCCUAACUGUCGGCUCCUCUCAAAUGGAUCAGCUUGCCAGUGUUUGGUGGCAUCACGGGUGUGAUAACUAUCUACGCUCGUGGUUUUCCACCAUGUAACCUUCAGCGAUGGAGGUUCGCUGGAGCUCACAGACGUCUCUCCUCAGGGAGGACAGCUUUUUGAACGUUUGAUCUCAAAUCAGGUAGGACUACCCGCUGAACUUAAGCAUAUCAAUAA